ACCUGCCUGGCUCAGUCAGUAGAGCAUGUGACUCUUGAUCUUGGUGUCGUGAGUUUGAGCCUCAUGCUGGGUG
rnacentral:tRNA from 1 species